rnacentral:rRNA from 1 species
UACGGAGGGGGCGAGCGUUGUUCGGAGUUACUGGGCGUAAAGCGCACGUAGGCGGUGCGGUAAGUCAGGGGUUAAAGGCUGCAGCUCAACUGCAGUAAGGCCUUUGAUACUAUCGUGCUAGAGUGUCAGAGAGGAUGGCGGAAUUCCCGGUGUAGCGGUGAAAUGCGUAGAUAUCGGGAGGAAGGCCGGUGGCGAAGGCGGCCUCCUGGGCCUGCACUGACGCUGAGGCGCGAAAGCGUGGGGAGCGAACGGG